GAUGAACGCUGGCGGCGUGCCUAACACAUGCAAGUCGAACGAACAAGCGAGGAGUUUGUUCCUCUGACGUGAGCGGCGGACGGGUGAGUAGCGCGUGGAUAACCCAUCUAUGAGAGUGAGAUCAGUUCGAGAAACCGGAGCAAAUACCAGAUACUCUAUCCAACCGCUUGGUUCUAGAGUGAAAGACCGGUUUGCUUUGACCUAUCGACGUAUCCGCGCCGCAUUAGCUGGUUGGGAAGGCAACGCCUUACCAAGGAAACGAAGCGUAGCCGACCUGAGAGGGUGGUAGGCGACACGGGAAGUGAGACACGGUCCAGACUCCUACGAGAGGCAGCAGUCGGGAAUCUUACGCAAUGGGCGAGAGCCUGACAGAGCAACGCCGCGUGAGUGAUGAAGGUGUUGGGAUCGGAAAACUCUGUUAUUGGGUGAAAACAAAUGUGUAAGUGACUAUGCAGAUAUUGACGGUACCUAAUGAGAAAGCCACGGCUAACUACGUG
rnacentral:rRNA from 1 species